GGGAUGUAGCUCAGUGACAGAGUGCUUGCCUAGCAUGCACGAGGUCUUGGGUUCCAUCCCCAGCCCUG
rnacentral:tRNA from 1 species